UAAAUGGACCACAAUUUGGAAGGUGUGCCUCCUGUAGAUUCCUCGGUCCUGUGGUGUGGUGGUUGUGCCCAUUUGGUGUUAUUUCACUGGAUUUAUAAGCCCAUCAACCUAUAAGUCUACCUCUCAAUGGAGUUCAAUUGAUUGUUCGGUUGAUUUCCAUCGAUUCUCCUCCAAUUACGUAAUUUUCUCUUCAAACAAAUAAAAUUUCAAGUACUAGUGGAGAUAGAUUAUUCUUAAACAAAAUAUGCAUGCAAGCAUAGCUAGUUCCCCUUUAUUUUGGAUAUAUUGAUGGUCGAAAUUUGUCUAUAACGACCGUCAGCACAUGUUCUUCUUUACUUUUUGAGUGGAUAAGGAUGUCAUCAAGAAAGACAAUGACAAACUUAUCAAGAUAAUCCAACAGUGUGUGAUUCAUCAAUCUCAUAAACACAGCUGGAGCAUUGGUAACUCCAAAUGGCAUAACUGUGAAUUGGUACAGUCCAUACCUUGUUGUAAAUGUUGUCUUUCGCCUAUCUUCUUUCUUAAUCAUCUAUUGAUAAUAUCCUGAUCUCAGCUCAAUCUUAGAAAAUAUCUUGGCACCUCUCAACUGAUCCAAUAGAUCAUCAAUAUCUUGGCAACUAUCAAAUCAAUUUGAUGUUGUGACUGAUCGUCGAUUCUGUUAGAAAUUAAUCUUGUCGUUUGUUAAUUUCAGCAUGUUUAUCUAUAUGCAUGUGUGUGUUGCAUGGCCUGGAGAGCUAGCUAUAUGUACGUGGGUGCUGCUGUGCUGCAUGGCUCAGUGAGUAGUGGUUGGCAGUGAGUAGUGAGCCAAUAAAUUAAGAGCCAGGAGAUGAGAGCACAUAUAUGUAGCUUAGUUAGUUAGCCAUGCAUAAUUGUGGGCAAGUGAUUAGCCGAGUCUUGCAUGGAUUAGUUAGUUAGGCCUGCACGUGGUGGAUUAGUUCUCCUAGAUGCAUGCAGCUAGCAUAUCGCCAGGCCUUGAGGAGAUGCGGCCAAGGAAGUGGGGCGUCGUGUGCGAAGAAAGUGGAUCAAGUAGCUCAUCCAGUGUAUGUGUGCAUUAGUAGCUUAUAAAUAGCUGCUCAUUGUAACCGUUUAGUGUGUGGAGUAAAGAAAAGAAAGAGAAAAGGCACAAGUUGUGCGUGGUGUCACAAAUACUCUGUGUGUUGUGUUCUUCUUCUUCCUUGUACUCUUCACGUGUGCAUCAGAAGAUGAAGUGCACUCAUACAGGCACUACUAAUAAUCCCGGCGACCUGCUCCAUCCCAAACUCCCGAUGCUAGCUUCAUGUUUUCUUGGCGUAGUGCUAUGCGUUAUUUUUCAUGUUAAUUCUAUGGUGGUUCGUGUGUUCUCGUUGUGUUGCCGACAGUGCUAUGUAUGUACUUGUAUAUAUGCUGCCUUGCUGUCUCCUCUAGAAUGUGAGAAUGGUGACGGUUUGGAUUGCCACGGCAGCCGUCAACAAGACAGGCGGUGCUAUAGCUUGUUCCAUUUGUAUUAUUUUUUAAAACUUUUUGCAAUCAUAUAAUUCGAUGUAAUAAUAUAUUUUGUAAAUAAGUUACUGAUCGUUUUAUUCUUCUCA